UACACUCCUGCGGGAGGCAGCAGUGGGGAAUAUUGGACAAUGGGCGCAAGCCUGAUCCAGCCAUGCCGCGUGAGUGAUGAAGGCCCUAGGGUUGUAAAGCUCUUUCACCGGAGAAGAUAAUGACGGUAUCCGGAGAAGAAGCCCCGGCUAACUUCGUGCCAGCAGCCGCGGUAAUACGAAGGGGGCUAGCGUUGUUCGGAAUUACUGGGCGUAAAGCGCACGUAGGCGGAUCGAUCAGUCAGGGGUGAAAUCCCAGGGCUCAACCCUGGAACUGCCUUUGAUACUGUCGAUCUGGAGUAUGGAAGAGGUGAGUGGAAUUCCGAGUGUAGAGGUGAAAUUCGUAGAUAUUCGGAGGAACACCAGUGGCGAAGGCGGCUCACUGGUCCAUUACUGACGCUGAGGUGCGAAAGCGUGGGGAGCAAACAGGAUUAGAAACCCCAGUAGUCCC
rnacentral:rRNA from 1 species